rnacentral:lncRNA from 1 species
CCCUAAGGCCUUGUAAGACAUCUAUCUAUCAAUCAAUCAAACACAAGUUUUUACUCAUAUUUCAGCAUCUACUUUUUCGACGACUUCGUCAUAUUUUCCUUUUCAUUACGAGUUCUUAGGAGUUCGUCGACUUAAGCUCGGCGUAUUCUCGAGUUCCGCGUGAAUACCUCUUGGCCGUGUCAUCCGGGCGCAUCGUUGUUGUCGGGACCAAAGUAUUCGAGUUAUCACCUUUGCCGAUAGUAAGGUCAAAUCGGCUGGCACGCCUUAACGUUUGAGACCGGGUAUUAGCCCUUUGUGUUUGCAGAUCUAGCUUUUGCAUAAACAAUUAUCCAGAGGAGACCGUAGCACCGAGUCAGGUGUGGAAAGAGAAGAUAACUAUACAUGAAGAGGAGGCGCCGCCGGAAGUACCGACUACGCCACCCAACGAAUCCCAGGACAAUUGAGAAAACGGACAGUCCCGUUCGGAGGACUUAAAAACACCGAACGCCUUGCCAAGAGGUAAACUUGGUAGUUAUCUUUUCCCUUUCAAUUAUUUUAAAUAGUUUACUUAGUUAAUCAUGUUCGUACUAUCCUAAAAAGAAAAUAAAAAUGUUAAAAAUAGUAAGCCCCAUGUGAGUAUAGGAGUGGCAUAAAACCCAUAAGUACAUUCACUGUGGUGGCAUAAAAAUAAAAUAAAAUAUUUCUUUUCUGCUUUAUAAAACGAAAAUAUAUAAAAUAGGGAGUAACAUGUAUUAAGGAGGCUCAACAUGAUAAAGGCUAGAUAUUUAUGCUAACACUUAAUCAGUUCCACAAGCUUUGUUGUCUAUUUGAGCUCCACAGAAUUUAAGAAUCAAGAAGACUAGCAGACGGAGGACAUUCUAAUCCCUGUCAAGAUACUGUCGACUUUCAAAUACACCUCUGCCACCUGCUAGCUACAUCAAGAGAAAUUACGUCAAAAUUCAGCUGGGGGGAGAGCACCCUCAUUUAUCCCGC